ensembl:lncRNA
GCAGCGGGCCUGAAAAUAGAUGUUUUAACCCUUAAGUCUCCACAUCUGUUCGCCCAGAUCUCCAUCCGACUUUAUUCCUCUAGCCCCAGUGGCGGUUACUUUUCACUCUCAUGAGUAAAAACCAUCCUUAUUGGCUCUUCGUUGGCAUGGUGACAUGUUGGACGAAUCUCGUUGGUUUCUUCGCUGUCCAAUGAGGAAGGACAUGCUCUAAACUCUGCCCCUUUGGGGUCAUUUUCGGUUACAGAUCAACAGAUUCUUACAGGAAUGAAUAUUCUAUUGUCCUAACCUAGACUAGAACAUCAGGGGGUUGGAGACAGAAGGGUUUUUCCGGCUGUAUAGGAGGGGGUUUCCUUUGCAUGUUAAUUGUUGGGUUUUAAUCCUAUCUCUCAUGAAAAGACAGGUGAAAAGUCAGAGUGAGAGUCAAAAGGCUGUCUUGACCUAUUCUUCACAGAGACAAGGUGUGAGAAUUACAACAGCAUGAUGGAGUUUUAAACCUUGAUAGUUAUUGUAUUCAAUCAUAUUUUCCUAACCUGGCUGCAGCAUACAAUUUAAUAGAAUAAAAACAUAGAAAUACAUGGUUAUUAAAUCAGCAUUAUUUAAACUUUAUUCAUCUCAACUCCUUCACACACACAGAAAUCCAAAGUCAGUACCUUAUUGUCAGGGUUGGGCAGGUUACUUUUUAAAUGUAAUCGGGUACAGUUACAAGUUACCUGUCCCCAUUUGUAAUCAGAUGCAAUCGACAAGGUCCUAGGCGUUGCUAGGACCACAAUACAUUAGGGGCUUAGAGGCCUAAGGCCUAAUGAUGCCACUGUUGCGUACCUAGUCUAUUACAAUUGAAGUAAUCCAACAAGUAAUCAUAAAUGUUUUCAAAAGUAUUUGUAAUCCGAUUUCAAUAUUUCUGGUAAUGUAACGGAUUAAUAAUUAUAUAAUUGGUAACGUAACAGAUUAUAGUUACAGUUUUGUUGUAAUACGUUACUCCCCAAUUCUGCUUAUUGUUCAUCAGACUCUCUUUCUU